rnacentral:lncRNA from 1 species
AGUCAGUAAUAAUGCUACCACUGCAGUUUUUAUCUCAGAAUAAACAUACGUAUACAUGUUACCCCUCCCUCCAGGCUUCAGUAAAAAAAAGUCCCCUGUUGGCUUCGCUCGAAAAAGAAAAAAAGUCCAUCCCCACCAGGCUACACAUCCAGAUGCGCCACCGCGCUACCGCCUCCGAUUCGCAGCCGGGGAUGGAAGAUGUCGUUGCUGGCCUUCACAGAAGUAAUUCCCAUGCUACCUAGCUCUACUCGUUGGUUCUUUUCCUCUAAUUUCUGUUUGCGAACAUAGGAUGCAAGCCCUAAUCAUGGCGAUUGGCGAUCCGGGGUGGACCAAGAAGCAGGGUCGAACUCUUUGAGUUGGGUGUUAGGUCGUUGGUAGCAGGCCAUUCAUGUCACGGCGGCAUUGAGAACAAAAAAAUGGUUGCUGGAGGGAGGCUGAUUGUGAUGGAUCUGAGGCAGAGGAUACACACCGGCCAUGGUCCAUGAGAAGUAUAUAUCGGAGUAUAUCCGUAUAAGCACAUUGGGGGAGAAAUAGCUAUUUGCGGCCUUUUUAGUUGCUCAUGUUUUUGGAUUUGUACCAACGUAAGUGCUGUACUUCAUUGUGUCCUUUCUAAUGCAGAUUAUCUUAUGUGCUUCCUUCUAGGAUAUUAUAUUAAUCUUGUGUUUUAGGAGAUGGCUAUGCUAUUGAAGAUUUUCUCAUGGACGUCUUAAAUUGAAAAGGCCAUAAGCUACCAGUUCUCGUGAUAAUUUGGUAGCUGAAACUUUAUUAUUUUUUGGCUGCAAAAUAAGUAUGAAUUUUCAAAAUUAGACAAAAGUCUAAAAAUUUAGAAGUGUGCACUGCGAAUAAAUAAACCACCCUUUUAUCAAGCAUGCGAUGCUUGUUCGUUCCAUGUUUUAACAUGGUGCCCACCUCAUCGUCCAUCAGUUCUUGUGUAAGAUUUAUAGUUAGAGAAUUGUAAACAUGAUACUUUACUUUUAAAAGAAAACACCUUUACCUGUAAAAGACCAAUAAAAGUGCAUGUAUGAAUGUAUUUGAAAAGAAUUACAGUUUGCGUCGCACUCUUAUCAUAUGAUAAGAUUCUUCUUAUCUUGGUAGCUGUCAAGUACUCAUACUAUAUCUACGUAAAUAAAUAGUCUGUCUUUACUAUUCGUAAGCUACUCAAUCGAUCUUUUGGAUAAAUUCCUUGUUUACUUAGGCCUCCAUUUUCCAUAGGCAAUAUCAGAGUCUUCAUCUUCAAGAGUUGCAAUUACUUUUUACUUUUGCAUGCACCAGUUUUUUGUUCUCGCAGGUAUUUUUGCUUUCUUUCUACAACUCCACGUCAUCUAAUAAUACAAUACAUCUUCGUUUAGCAUAGUCAUUGAGGGGUCCAUGUGAUGAUGAUAUUUGUCUUAAUGCCUAUCUUUGUUCAGCAUAGUCCCAUUAAUAUCGUGUGGUUCUUUUUUCUUAGGCACCAGUUCACAUAACCUUUUCCUUGGUCGGUCAUCAUUAUUCUGUGACUGCAAAAUGAAAUGCAUUUAAAAAUAAUACAUGCUUAAAAAUCUAAAAGUGUGUAUGGUGAAAACAUUAAUCUCCCUUUUAGCUCGCAUGUCUUGCUUCUUCAUUUUUUGUUCCAACACGGUGUCCACUUUGUCAUCUAUCAACUGUUUGGCAUACUGCAAGAUAAGCCAGUGAGGAAGAACAGAAAAGAUAGUACUUAGUUAAUUAUUUUGAUGAAUUAAAUGCACCUUACCUCCUCAGCUUUAUUGUUCAAGUACAACAUCUCUAGCAAGGCAUAAAUCUUAUUUUUACUGCCUAGUUUUGCUUGCCAAAAAUAAGAUUACUGCUGUUGAGCUUGAAUCUAAAGAUAAUUUAACCUCACCAUUAGAUGACAGACAUCGCACAUCUGAGUCUUCAUCGUUAAAUGUUGUAUUUUUGACUUUUGCUUUGAUGUGUUAUUAGUAGACCAGAAUAGAUAAUGUUUCAUACUUGUGAAGAAGUUCUUGAAUUUUGGAUAUAUCUAGAUCCCUACGUAGUCUUGUGGCACAUGUUGACUUUACGCACAAACCCAUCAACAAUUAAUCUAUUACAUAUUUUUGUUUUGUAAUUAAAAGAUGAGAUUUCGAAAUUAUUGGACUUACAAUUGCAUUUUUGCACCAUUGUUUAGGUCACUGUAAGGAUGGUUUGGUUUUGGAGUACAUAUUCAUCCAAAUAAUAAGCAAACAUUCCGAUAUCGUAACUUUGGUUUCAGCCGAAGAUGUUAAGCCUGAAAAUUUAAUGCCGACCGCAAUGGAGGAAGUUAGAACUUAAGACAUUGGUAUACACUCUGCACUUACUCUGGUAUUGGAAAUUAAAUAUCACGGAUAUAGGACGGUUUUGUGUUCUUUAUUUUUUUUUUGUUCCACAUGCUUCAUCUGGGUAAGUAGUUCGAUGACAUCUGUCAAUUUGGUGAUUAAUUACCUCAUAGUUAUAAUGAUUGAUUAAACAAAAAUCUGAUUUAUAACUGUAACAUACCUGAGCAUUGCUUACCUUUAUAUGCUUCUUGUUGUAGUAUGACCUUGGUAUCGGACUCAAAGUAGUAAUUAUGAAAAACUUUCAAUAAUCCUACAUCUGUCAAAUUGGUGAUUAAUUGCCACAUAGGUAGAAUGAUGGAUUAGCCCAAAAUCUGAUUUACAACUAUGACAUACCUGAGAAUUAUUUAUCUUUUUGUAUGAUUGUUGUAGUAUGUCCUUGCUAGCAAACUCAAAGUAGUAGUUAUGAAAAACUUCUGAUUAUCCUUUCACCUCCUUUCUCUGUGUAUUGUAUGCAAACUUUUUUCUAAUAUCAUUGUUCAGCGGGCCAUAUUUUGUGCCUCCCACAACCUAUUGCUAAAUGAAUAAAUAUAUUUCUUAGUUAUCCUUUGAUUUAUAAGUAUCCAUCUGAUUUUUACGUAUGGUAGCAUGAGUUGUUUGGUCCUCUAUGAAAAUAGCUACUCCCUCUAUUACGAAACAUAUGACGUUUAGGCAAUUCAAUUUGAACUGCUUAAACAUCAUAUAUUUCAUAACAGAGGGAGUACUAUAUACUUAUCAACUAUUGUUUGAUACAGUACAAUAGUCCACAUUUCAAAUUGUAUAUAAUAAACCCGCUCAUCUGUCAAGAUCACAUCAAGACUCAGUCAUCGAUUGUUUUUGAAACAAUAGAAUAGUCUGCAAUUAAAUAUGUAUAGCAUAAACCUGUACAUCCAUCAAGACCACAUCAAGGCUCAUAAGUUCAUCGGUUGUAGGAUUGAUUGUAUCCCAUGUUCUCGUUACUUUCACUAAAACAUCCCAGUUUUGGUCUCUUGUUGAAGUUUCUCAGCUUCUUGUAUUCCCUAGCGUUUUCACUUCAAAAGGAUUAAAACGCAUUGCUUCAAAAGGAUUGAAAAAGUUGUUGUCAAUUGAUAACGUAAAUAUGAAGAUUUUAGCUGAAAAAGUGAGUUCAUAGUAAUAAUAGUUACUAACCUUGUUGAUUCAGGUGAGAAGGAAACUCAGAUGGCUGGGUGUAACUUCUGUAGAAAUCGAGUUGCAUACCACUUCAUAAUUUGGGCUGGCUUCGAUAUUUGUUGUGCGCCGAGUCUGAACAUCUCGCGUCAGAGUCUGUUGGCUUCUAUUGUCCUGGUGGUGGCAUAGUUGAGUCAUGGCAUCGUAGAGCUGGUUGGCUUCAGUUUUCUUGGUGUGGCGCAGAGUCGUGAGUUGCUGGGUAUCUUAGAUUUCCAUGGUGGGCGAUGGCUGGGUGUAACUUCUGUAGAAAUCGAGUUGCAUACCACUUCAUAAUUUGGGCUGGCUUCAAUAUUUGUUGUGCGCCGAGUCUGAACAUCUCAUGUCAGAGUCUGUUGGCUUCAAUUGUGCUGGUGGUGGCAUAGUCGAGUCAUGGCUUCGUAGAACUGGUUGGCUUCAGUUUUCUAGGUGUGGCGCAGAGUCGCGAGUUGCUGGGUAUCUUAGAUUUCCAUGGUGGGCGUGUGCUGGCUGAUAGAUGUGGCAGGUUGUGUAUUUUUAUGGAUGAGUUCUCGCCG